rnacentral:misc_RNA from 1 species
GUUGAUUUUAGGAUUAGGGUUUGCUUGCAUUGAGAAAUGUUGAAGAAAAUUAUAAAGGGUGGGCACAAAAAGCCCUCUAAAUCUGAUGGUAACGAUUCUGGAUUUGGGCCACCGGGGACCCGAAACUCUGGGUCGGGACCUGCAUCAAAUGUGGUGGUGAACCAUGCGUCUCGGACCACCCCUGGCCCUGUAACUCNGGGUCGUGCCCCCGCCGCCAAUGAAUUCGGUGGAGCCCCUCCCUCUUUUCCGGGAUGUGCCCGUAUCUGAGCGACAAAACCUGUUUCUCCGGAAGCUUCAGGUCUGUUGUUUCCAAUUGGACUUCAGCGAUACGCUAAAAUCGGUCCGAGAGAAGGAAAUCAAGAGACAAACGCUGUUGGAAUUGGUCAAUUUUAUUCAAUCCGGCUCGGGAAAAAUCACGGAAACCUGUCAAGAGGAAAUGAUUAGAAUGGUUUCCGUGAAUAUAUUCCGUUGUUUGCCCCCAGCUUCUCAUGAGAACACCGGGCAAGAAGCUGCAGAUCCCGAAGAGGAGGAGCCUUAUCUGGAACCCUCGUGGCCUCAUUUGCAGCUUGUUUAUGAGCUUCUUUUAAGAUAUGUUGUGUCAUCAGAUACUGACACGAAGGUUGCCAAGAAAUAUAUUGAUCAUUCUUUUGUGUUGAAACUGCUGGAUUUGUUUGAUUCCGAGGAUCCGCGGGAGAGGGAGUAUUUGAAGACGGAAGACAAUUCUUCAUAGGAUUUAUGGCAAAUUUAUGGUGCAUCGCCCAUUUAUUAGGAAAGCAAUAAAUAAUAUAUUCUAUCGGUUUGUUUAUGAGACUGAGAGGCACAGUGGGAUCGGAGAACUAUUGGAGAUUCUAGGGAGUAUAAUAAAUGGUUUUGCGCUGCCAAUGAAAGAGGAGCAUAAACUGUUUCUUGUAAGGGCGCUUAUACCACUGCAUAAACCAAAGCCAAUUUCUGUGUACCAUCAGCAACUGUCUUAUUGUAUUGUCCAGUUUGUGGAAAAGGAUUACAAGCUUGCAGAUACAGUUAUAAGGGGUUUGUUGAAGUAUUGGCCUCUGACUAAUUGUCAGAAGGAAGUUCUCUUCCUUGGAGAACUUGAAGAAGUGCUGGAGGCAACACAAUCAGCAGAGUUUCAACGCUGCAUGGUUCCUCUUUUCAGACAGAUUGCUCGCUGCCUCACUAGCUCUCAUUUCCAGGUUGCAGAAAGAGCCCUGUUUUUGUGGAACAAUGAACACAUUGUGAGCUUGAUUGCUCAGAAUCGUACUGUCAUAUUACCAAUUAUUUUUGAGGCAU